GAGCUGCUGAGUGGGUACGGCCCACCAGACGCAUUAUCAUCAGUGGCGGUGAUGUUGAGGACGUACUGCGGCCCCCUCAACCUCGGAGGCGGACUUCGGCGCAGCUUAAUGAUGCCUGUACACAAAAAAGCAGAGCUGGAGAAGGCCUGAGAAAGCCUCCGCAAGACAAAACAAUCCAAACAAACAAAUAUCUGCUAAUUAGGGAAGCAAUUUUCAAGUAAAUUGUUGUGGCCUUUA